CCAUAUACACAAAUAAAUAUUAUAUAACAACAUAAGCUUGCUUUCUCCGAUUCAUAUGAAACUUUUUAAGUUAUGCACCAAAGCAAAUUAAUUAAAUCAAUCAAAUUGUUAGAAUAAAACAAAUUAAUAUAUAAUUUUAUUUUAAAUUAAAUUAUUUAAAAAAUGUAUUUUCAUUAAAAAAAUAAUAAUAAAUAAGUAAAACUGAUUUGAUGGUAAUUUUUAUAACAUAUAUAUAUUAUGUGAAAGAAAUAUAAGCUUAAUAUGGAAAAAAAUCUUAAAUACAAAA
rnacentral:lncRNA from 1 species